rnacentral:lncRNA from 1 species
AGUGCAUGGAGCGUGAUAGAAAGAAAAAGGCCUAUUUAACUCUGGGGGAAAAGACAGAAAAUAUCAACAAGAAAUCUCGCAAUGAUUAGAAGCAGAGUGGAAACCCCACAAGGUGGCAGUUAUGCAUUGCAGAGGACACCAGCGAGCUUCCACCUUGCUGGGUUUGGGGAAUUCCCGCGCUGACUCAGAGGCUCGAAAAGCAGCAUCUGCCCCCUUUCGGGCAUCAGUGCUCCCUCAAGCACCUGAUCUUGGACCUACUUCUUCUAAAGAAGAAAAGGACUUUCUCCAGGUAGAGGGAAGGACAAGUGAUGGAGGAAGGAUGGAUUCGGUUACCAGAUGGGAGAGUAGCUGCGCCACAGUUGCUAGGAGCUGUAGUUGGACAAGAAACCACCCAUCGAGGUCAGGAGUCACUGGAAAAGUUGUUAGGCCAGUGUUUCUACAUCUCACAUUUGUCAGCCCUUGCCAAAACGGUGAGGCAGCGGUGUGUUACCUGCCGACAGCAUGAUGCGAGGCAAGGUGCAGCCGUUCCGCCCGGCAUACAAGCUUAUGGAGCAGCCCCCUUUGAAGAUCUCCAGAUUUCGACUGCCCUUACGGAUCGGCUGAGAUAACGGACCUGCGUUUUUGGCGGCCUUGGUACAGAAGACGGCAAAGGGUGUCCAAGUCACAGCCACGGAAUCUCACAGAUGUCUGAGAAUUCCUCCUCAUGGGACUCUCAGAGGAUCCAGAACUGCAGCCCGUCCUCGCUGGGCUGUCCCUGUCCAUGUGUCUGGUCACGGUGCUGAGGAACCUGCUCAGCAUCCUGGCUGUCAGCUCUGACUCCCACCUCCACACCCCCAUGUACUUCUUCCUCUCCAACCUGUGCUGGGCUGACAUCGGUUUCACCUCGGCCACGGUUCCCAAGAUAAUUGUGGACAUGCAGUCGCAUAGCAGAGUCAUCUCUUAUGUGGGCUGCCUGACACGGAUGUCUUUUUUGGUCCUUUUUGCAUGUAUAGAAGACAUGCUUCUGACUGUGAUGGCCUAUGACUGCUUUGUAGCCAUCUGUCGCCCUCUACACUACCCAGUCAUCGUGAAUCCUCACCUCCGUGUCUUCUUAGUUUUGGUGUCCUUUUUCCUUAGCCUGUUGGAUUCCCAGCUGCACAGUUAGAUUGUGUUACAAUUCACCUUCUUCAAGAAUGUGGAAAUCUCUAAUUUUGUCUGUGAGCCAUCUCAACUUCUCAAGCUUGCCUGUUCUGACAGCAUCAUCAAUAGCAUAUUCAUAUAUUUCGAUAGUACUAUGUUUGGUUUUCUUCCCAUUUCAGGGAUCCUUUUGUCUUACUGUAAAAUUGUUCCCUCCAUUCUAAGGAUUUCAACAUCAGAUGGGAAAUAUAAAGCCUUCUCCACCUGUGGCUCUCACCUGGCACUUGUUUGCUUAUUUUAUGGAGCAGGCAUUGGCGUGUACCUGACUUCAGCUGUGUCACCACCCCCCAGGAAUGGUGUGGUGGUGUCAGUGAUGUACACUGUGGUCACCCCCAUGCUGAACCCUUUCAUCUACAGCCUGAGAAACAGGGACAUUCAAAGCACCCUGAGGAGGCUGCUCAGCAGAACAGUCGAAUCUCAUGAUCUGUUCCAUCCUUUUUCUUGUGUGGGUGAGAAAGGGCAACCACAUUAAAUCCCUACAUCUGCAAAUCCUGCCCCUUAGUCACAUUAUUUUUGUGGCUUGAUGGCUUUUAUUCCUUUCUGCAUUUCCUAUGUGAAUAUUGUUUUCUUCGUUAUACCUUUCACUGGAAUGGGUGAGGAUUCUGGGAUCCUUUGUUUAGCAGAAACCUCAUGACUGAAUCCUCUAUACCUAGGUGGCCUCCUUUAGUUUCUGAGCAAUAACCCUGUCAUCCAGGUGGAAUCACAACCAUCUUUUUAUAUACGUGAAGUCCUCACUUCAUUUUGGAAUUCCCUGAAAAUUGCCUUUAUGGAAACAAUGUACAGCAGGUCCUCCAACACCAUUGGUGCGUUCAAAGUUGUGUAGUUAUAAUGUUGGUGAGGAAUAAGUGGUUUCACUAUACCUAAUUUUGCUUCAAGGUGAAGUUUCCAAGAGACUUUCAAAGAUGUUAAGUGAGGACAUACUGUACAUCAAAUUCAUAUCCUCUUCCAGAGUUCAUGUGGAAUUUCUUUAUAAACUGCUUCUAGAGAAUCUAUUUAGGCAGGUUAUGUGUAGAGAUCCAUGUCACCCGUCCUCAAUCUUGGCUUUGAGUCAAAUCACCUGGGGAGCUUACAAAUGCUGAGGCCUGGGUGCCAUUACCUGAGAUUCUGAUUUCCCUGCACCUGUGUGAGUAUGUGGAUUUUUUUUUUUUUUUUUUUUAAGCACCAGAGGUGGUUGCAAUGACGAAGUUUUUAGAGGCAUCAAGCUCCAAUUAGUAAGAACAGAAGUUAAUUGUAAUAUGAUUUCUUCAAAUAUUAUCUUCAAAUGCAUUGUCCAUCAACACCAUACAAAUGUUUAUUAUGCUGUUGUUUCUUACCAUUUAGCAUUUUCUAUUUUUUUCUUUUUUCUUUUUUUUUUCUUUUUGAGACAGAGUUUCACUCUUGUUGCCCAGGCUGGAGUGCAAUGGCACGAUCUCGGCUCACUGCAACCUCUGCCUCCCGUAUUCAAGAGAUUAUCCUGUCUCAGCCUUCCAAGUAGCUGGGAUUACACGCAUACGCUACCAUGCCCGGCUAAUUUUUUUUUUUUUUUUUUUGUAUUUUUAGUACACAGAGUGGUUCUCCAUAUUGGUCAGGCUGGUCUUGAACUCCCGACCUCAGGUGAUCCGCCUGGUUCCACCUCCCAGUGUUCUGGGAUUACAGGCAUGAGCCACCGCGCCCAGCCACCACUUAGCAUUUUCAUUUUACAUUUGUUGAAAUUAUAGAUUUAUACACACUUUGAUUGCUGUUUUGUUAUACACUUGCAUAUACAUAAGAUGUGAAAUAGAAAAGAAUAAAAUGGGCACAGUAUCCCUGAAGUUUCACAUUCUGAGACAUUUUAAAAAUAUUUGCUCUUUAGAAAUUUGUUUCAAUUGAGAAACUGUGGUAUACACACCCAAUGAAGUAUUAUUCAGCCUAAAAAGGAAUAAACAAAAUCCUCUUCAUUGCAGACAAAAUGGAUGCGAUUGCAGGUCUGUAUAUUAAAUGAAAUAAGCCAGGCACAGAAUGACAAAUAUUUCAUAUCCUCACUUCUAUGUAGGAACAAAACAGAAAAUCUUGGCCAGGUUUGGUGGCUCAGGCCUGUAAUCCCAGCACCGUGGGAGGCCGAGUCACAUGGAUCACUUGAGGCCCAGAGUUCGAGACCCGCCUGGCCAACAUGGUGAAAUCCCGUCUCUACUGAAAACACAAACAAUUAGCCGGGUGUGGUGACACGUGCCUGUAGUCUCAGCUACUCGGAGGGCUGAGGCCCAAGAAGCGCUUGAACUCGGGAGGCGGAGGUUGCAGUGAGCCCGGAUUUUGCCUGUAUACUCCAACCUGGGCAACAGAAAGAGACUCCAUCACACACCUACACACAAAAGGAAUCUCAGGAAGGUGGAAAGUAUAAAGGUGGUUAGCAGACGCUAGGAAGAAAAGGGGUGGGAUGGGGAAUGAAGAGAAGUGGAUAAUUGGGUCCCAAAAUACAGAAAGAUGGAAUAAGUGAGUUCUAGUGUUUGAUAGUACAGUAUGAAAAUUUUAGUUCACAAGAAUUUCUGGCAUAUUUCCAGAUGCUUUGGUAAGAAGCUUCCUAACUUUCUCAUUAUGCUGGUUUUUCAGCUAUUCUCUUUCUGCUCUCGAAAUCAUGCUGGAUUUUUUGUUUUUGGUUUUUUGUUUUCAGACAGAGUUUCACUCUUGUUGCCCAGGCUGGAGUGUAAUGGUGCAAUCUUGGCUCACCGCAACCUCUGCCUCCUGGGUUCAAGCGAUUCUCCUGCCUCCAUCUCCCAAGCAGCUGGGAUUACAGGCAUGCCCCAGCAUGCCCAGCUAAUGUUGUGUUUGUAGUAGAGAUGGGGGUUUCUUCCUGUCUGUCAGGCUGGUCUUGAACUCCUGACCUCAGGUGAUCCGCCCGCCUCGGCCUCCCAAAGUGCUUGGAUUACAGGCGUGAGCAACGGCGCCCGGCCCAUGCUGCAUCCUUAUCUGUUGUCUGUUGUUUGUUUUUGAGCCCAGAAAUAACUUCUCACCUAUAUGUUCAAAUGAUUUUUCACAUGAGUGCUAAGAAAGUCCAUUGGUGGAAAAGCAGCCUUUUCAAGAAAUGGUGUUGGAGAAACUUGAUUUCCACAUGCAGAAGAAUGAAGGUGGACUCUAUGUCACACCAGGUGCAAAAAUGAACACAAACUGGAUCAAAGACCUAACCCCAACUGCUGAAAGUAUAAUAUGCCUAAAAGAAAACAUUGGCCACACUUUCAUGACAUCAGAUUGGGCAAUGCUUUCUGGGAUAUGACACCAAAAGCAUAGGCAACAAAAGAAAAUUAGAUCCCUUGGAUGACAUCUAAAUGACAGACACUUUUGUACAUCAGCAAACACUGUGAACUGAGUGAAAAGAUAACCCAUGGAUUAGGAAAAAGAUUUGCAAAUCAUAUCUCUGAAAAGAGGCUGAUAUGCAUCAUAUACAAAGAACAGCUAGAACUGAACAACAAGAAACCCAAAGCAUCCCAUUAACAAUGGUCAGAAGACUCGAGUAGACAUGUCCCUAAAGAAGAUACAGCAAUGGCCAAUAAGCAUCUAAAAUGAUGUUCAAAAUCACUCAUCAUAGGGAAGCGCAAAUCCAACCAAGAAUGUGAUACCACACAUUUGGAUGGAUGUGAUAAACAAACGAGCAUUGGUGAAACUAGAGGGAAGUAGGAAUGCUCGAAACUGAUUGGAGGGAAUGUAAAACCGUGAAGGAACAGGGAAAAUAGAAUGGCGUGUACUGGAAAAAGUAGAAACAGGAUUACCAGAUGUUCCCGCAGUUGCACUUGUGGGUACCCUCCAAAAAGAAUUAGAAGCCAGGAGUGGAAGAGAGAUUUGUACACCCAAAUUCAUAGCAGCAUUAUUCACAACAGCCAACAUGUGGAAGCAACCCAAGGGUUCGUGGACAGAUGAAUGAAAAAGCACACUGCAGUUCAUUCAUGCGAUGGAAGACUAUUCAGCCUUAAAAAGGCAGGCACUUCUGGCCGGUGCGGUGGCUCAUGCCUGUAAUCCCAGCAUCUUGGAAGACCGAGGUGGGCGGAUCACCUGAGGUCAGGAAUUCAAGACCAGCCUGGCCAUGGACUUGGUGAAAUCCUGUCUCUGCUGAAAAUGCAGAACAUUAGACGAGCGUGGUGGUGUGUGCCUAUAGUCCCAGCUACUGGUGAGGCUGAGGCACAAGAAUUGCUGGAACCUGGGAGGCGGAGGUUGCAGUGAGCCCAGAUUGUGUCACUGCACUCCAGCCUGUGCGACAGAGUGAGACUCCAUGUAAUCACAAAACAAAACAAAACCAAAAAAAAAAAAAAAAAAACACGCAAACAACCAGACAGGCACUUCUGACACAGGCUGUAACACGGGUGAACCUUGAAGACAUUCUCAUCAGUGAAAUAAAUAAAUCCCAAAAGGAUAAACACGACCAGGCUCAGUGGAUCGCACCUGUAACCCCAGCACUUUGGGAGGCUGAGGCAGGCGGAUCACUUAAGGUCAGGAGUUUGAGACCAGCCUGGCCAAUAUGGUGAAAGCUCGUCUCUAUUAAAAAUACAACGAUUAGCUGGGCGUGGUGGCGCACGCCUGUAAUCCCAGCUACUCGGGAGACUGAGACACAAGAAUCGCGUGAACCCACGAUGUGGAGGUUGCAGUCAGCUGAGACCAUGCCACUGCACUCCAGCCUGGGCGACAGAGAAAGACUCUGUCUCCAUAACAAACAAACCAAAAAAAUUAAACACGGUAUGAUUCCACUUAUAUCACGUGUCUACAGUAGUUAAACUUACAGAGUUGCAAAACAGAAUGGUGGCCCCCAGGGGUGGGCGAGAGAGAGUGGAAUGGAGUUUGGUUAAUGGGUGCAAUUUCCAUUUUCAAGGAUAAAACUGUUCUGGAGAUGAUGGCGGUGAUGGUUGCUAAACAAUGUGAAUGUACCUAAUGUGAUUAAACUGUAAACUGAAAACUAGUGGAAAUUGUAAAUGUUUAUACUGGCCAUUCUAUAUGAAAUAAUCUAUAUUUGUGAUUUUUAAUAUUUAUACGUGGUAUAUCUUCCCAUAAUAAAAG